GGAUUCCCAAGAUGAACAGCAGAAGGUGCCUGGAGGCUCAGGGGCAGAGCAUCAGCUUACUAAAGAUGUUUGGGCAAACCCCAGAGAAUGAUCUGCAAGAGAGUCAGGGAAGCACAAGAAGAAAGAGAGAUGCAAAGGAAGUCCCCAGGAGGACUUUCAGACACUUCCUGAAGGUCAGGGGGGAGAAGAAGGAGGGGAGGUUUUCUGAGUGGUGCAGCAAGGCUUCAGAGAGAGCAGCUCGUUGGUUUUCAGGCUCUCGAAAGAGGGCCAGGCAGCGCUGAUAGAAGGCCCAUAGCCUGGGAGCUGCGGCUGCAGGCAGAGAUCCCAGGCUUCCUGCCUUUUCUUCUGAAGAGCCCAGAAGUCUCAAAGCUGGACCUGUGAGGAGGAGGUGCUCACCAGACCGAGAUUUCACUGCAGUUGCCAGCACAGGGUUCCUAACAAAUGGCCACUAAUGUGUCCCUGGGCUGGGGCAGGGUGGACCACUUUCAGGGGUAGGGGUGGGGUGCCACCUAGGGCAGGCACAUUGUGGAGAGCAAGGCCAAUGAACUGGCCUUGGUCCCACCAGUCUACCCUGCUGCCCCCCUGGCUCCAGAAAGCGGCCUUCCAACAUGCUGAUCACUUCCUUGCCACCAUGCUGCCUCCUGGACCUGUAGAUGAGACUAGGGCUUGGGAUUAUUAUUUCCAAUGAUUCCUUUUUGUUAUA